GACGAACGCUGGCGGCGUGCUUAACACAUGCAAGUCGAACGGAAAGGCCCUGCUUUUGUUGGGUGCUCGAUUGGCGAACGCGUGUGUAACACGCGUGUAACCUGCCCUUGACUUUCUGAUAUCUUCUCGAGACUGGGGCUCUUAUCCCAUAUGAUCUCCUGCUCCACGUUGGUGGUUGGUAAGUUUCGGCGGUUGGGGAUGGACUCGCGGCUUAUCCGCUGGUUUGUGGAGUUGGUGCUUACCAAGGGUUUGACGGGUAGCCUGCCUGAGAGGGUGAACGGCGACAUUGGGGCUGAGAGACGGCGCAGACGGCUACGGGAGGCAGCAGUGGGGAGUAUUGCAGAAUGGGCGGGAGCCUGAUACAGAGGCGCCGCGUGCGGGAUGACGGGCUUCGGGUUGUAAACCGAUUUCGACUGUGACAAAGAGUGAGUGACGGUAAUGGGUAAAGAAGCACCGGCUAACUACGUG
rnacentral:rRNA from 1 species